AUCCAUUUGUGGUUCAUAAGAGUGACGACUGGGUGUUCAUGCCAUUGUGGGACAUAUGCCUUUCCCAAACCUUAUUACAACCUUGGCAUGUUACUGCCUGAUG
ensembl:snoRNA